GGGCCUUGAGUAGGUCAAGGAUUCCAGACCUGGACUGCAUGUACAGUUCCUGGAAACCCAGUCAGCACAAGAUUAAAUCUGUGUGUAAAUCCAGCAAAAAUGACACCUGGGAUUUGGCACGCCGAGGAAGGUGAUGGCGGGAGUGGGUGAGCUCCUGAGAUCCUAGAGGAAGGGAGGAGCCCGGGCUGUGGGACCCAGAUCCUACAAACAUGCCCCUGAGCUUGCGUAAGGCAGCGCUGUUAAGGGAUGGAAAGAGCCCUGCCUAGAACCCACAAACCCACCCUGAGUCCCAAAGCAAUGCUGGUCCAGAGAGGACCUUAGACUCCCUGCAGCCCCCGGAGCCUCUGGGCAGUCCCAGGACUUUGGGGACAGACUCCCUGCCUAGCUUUGGCCCUCAGGGAUUGCUGGCUGGACUUCUGAGGUUUUCUGCGCAGCUCUUGGUGCAUUCUUGGUCCAGUUGGAAUCACGCUCUACCCAGAGCUCCCCAUGUGGUCUAGCACUGGGGAAAGGCCCCAAAGAGCCUCGCCCUGGGCCGCCUAGCUCGAGAGCGUCUGGGCAUUGCAGGCAAGCUUCAACCUCCUCCCAGAGCCCUGGCCCAGGCGGAGGAGGAGCUUUGUGGUGGGAGCAGAUAUGUUAUCUCCUGUUUACUUCUUGGCGUGCCUGACAUGCUCUAGCCCGCGUUGGCCCCGACAUUCCUCUUCCCCCCUUUUGCAGGCACUUACUAGGAGUAGAAAUGAUAAACUAUCCCAGUCAGUCCGCUAAAAGAAGGAGCCUUUCGCGGAGAGGCAAAGAUCCCGGGCUGAGGCCUGGAUGAGGUCACAGGAAGGACUUACUUGAGCGAGUCUCCUUGUAAAGACCUGCCUUCAGGCCUCCUCAGCAUCAGAGCGGGGGUGAGGAUGGAGAGAGGCUUCCUCAGCAUCAGGGCAGAGGAUGGAGAGUGGCGUCCUCAGCAUCAGAGCAGAGGAUGGAGAGAGGCGUCCUCAGCAUCAGAGCAGAGGAUGGAGAGAGGCGUCCUCAGCAUCAGAGCAGAGGAUGGAGAGUGGCGUCCUCAGCAUCAGAGCAGAGGAUGGAGAGAGGCGUCCUCAGCAUCAGAGCAGAGGAUGGAGAGAGGAUGGAGAGAGGCGUCCUCAGCAUCAGAGCAGGGGCGAGGAUGGAGAGUGGCGUCCACGCAUCCCUCUCCCCGCCCCUUCUGAAGGACUCCUCGCCAGGGGGCUGGAUUACAAGAAACAGUGCUGACGCCCCACAAAAGUAGGCACACCGAGGAGCCGGUGCCCUGGGUAUGGAGAGACGGCCAGCCAGUUUUCCCCUGGAAGUCUGCCCAACAUGAACAGUGGUUUCAUCCAGACUUAAAACCGAGGUAGGACCCUGGCAAGAGAGAUCCGUCUGGGUUUUGUUUAGCCACGUCCAAUUCUUUGUAUCUUUUCCGGGUGUUUUGUUGGGUUGCUUUUGGUAAGGACUGCAGUGGUUGCCAUUUUCCUUCUACAGGUUUCCCCAAGGGUUAGAAAUGAUCUGCCCAGGGUCUCUAUACCAAGUGUGAGUCUGAAGUGAGAUCUGAGCUCAGAACGAUGAGGCUUCUGACUCCAGCUUCAGCCCUCUCCAUCGCACCAGCUACCUGCCCCAAUAAAGGGCCGUACCUACCCCCGAGCA
ensembl:lncRNA